rnacentral:lncRNA from 1 species
CCUACCCUUUACACCGUUUUUCAAUUUAGUCCCCAACCUAUUUUUUUUGCAAUCAACUCACCAAUCUCUUGAUUUCAUUACAAUUAAGUCCCAGCCGUUAGAUAGAUAUUAAAAUUGACGAAAAAUAUCACGUCAGUACCAUAUCAAUGCCACGGAGACGCCAUGUCAGCGCCACGGAGGCAUCGUGUCAGUACCACGGUGGCGCUGUGUCAGCGGAUUGCAAAAAAAAAAAAGAUUGGGGACCACAUUGAAAAACGGUGUAAAGGUUGGGGACCAAUGGUGUAAUUAAUCCAUUAAUUUAUAAAUUCAAAAUAAUAUUUUUAAUUUAAGAUUUAAAUUUUAAAUUUUAAAUUUGAUUUUGGAUUCAAAUUCCGAUUUUAUAUUUAAUUUUAAAUUUUAAAUUUUAAAUUCAAAUUCUCAUUUCGAAUUCUAAAUUCUAAUUUAAUUUCAAAUUUCGAAUUGAAAUU